UGGUCAAGUUAUUAAGGGUGCAGGGCGGAUGCCUUGGCACUAGGAGCCGAUGAAGGACGUGAUAAGCUGCAAUAAGCUUCGGGGAGUUGCACGUAAACUUUGAACAGAAGAUUUCCGAAUGCGGAAACUUAAUUAGGGUAAUUGCUAAGUAUCAUUAAGUGAAUACAUAGCUUAAUGAGGGGAACUCAGGGAACUGAAACAGCUAAGUACCUGAAGGAAGAGAAAGAAAUUCGAUUCCGUAAGUAGCGGCGAGCGAACGCGGAUUAGCCCAAACCAAUAAAGUUUUCUUUAUUGGGGUUGCGGACAUAUCAUAACGAAGAGGUAUCGUAAUUGAAGAGGUUUGGAAAGACCCACCACAGAAGGUAAUAGUCCUGUAUGUUAAACGAGAAGACUUUAGAUAUGAUCCAGAGUACCACGGGACACGUGAAACCC
rnacentral:rRNA from 1 species